rnacentral:misc_RNA from 1 species
AAGUCGUAACAAGGUUUCCGUAGGUGAACCUGCGGAAGGAUCAUUACCGAGAGUUGCGGGCUUUGCCUGCCAUCUCUUACCCAUGUCUUUUGCGUACCACAUGUUUCCUCGGGGGGCUUGCCCCCCGCUAGGACCCUUUAUCAAACCUUUUUGUAAUAGCAGUCAGCGUCUGAUACUAAGUUAAUUAUUAAAACUUUCAACAAUGGAUCUCUUGGUUCUG